rnacentral:rRNA from 1 species
CCUACGGGUGACAGCAGUGAGGAAUAUUGGUCAAUGGGCGCGAGCCUGAACCAGCCAAGUCGCGUGAAGGAUGACGGCCCUACGGAUUGUAAACUUCUUUUAUAAGGGAAUAAAGUCAGGCACGUGUGCCUGUUUGUAUGUACUUUAUGAAUAAGGAUCGGCUAACUCCGUGCCAGCAGCCGCGGUAAUACGGAGGAUCCGAGCGUUAUCCGGAUUUAUUGGGUUUAAAGGGAGCGUAGACGGGUUGUUAAGUCAGUUGUGAAAGUUUGCGGCUCAACCGUAAAACUGCAAUUGAUACUGGCAGUCUUGAGUACAGUUGAGGUAUGCGGAAUGCGUGGUGUAGCGGUGAAAUGCUUAGAUAUCACGAAGAACUCCGAUUGCGAAGGCAGCUUACUAAACUGACACUGACAUUGAUGCUCGAAAGUGUGGGUAUCAAACAGGAUUAGAUACCCGAGUAGUC